rnacentral:rRNA from 1 species
UGCCAGCCGCCGCGGUAACACGGGGGGCGCAAGCGUUAUUCGGAAUUAUUGGGCGUAAAGGGCGCGUAGGCGGUCUUGUCGGUCAGAUGUGAAAGCCCAGGGCUCAACCCUGGACGUGCAUUUGAAACAGCAAGACUUGAAUACUGGAGAGGAGAGCGGAAUUCCUGGUGUAGAGGUGAAAUUCGUAGAUAUCAGGAGGAACACCGAUGGCGAAGGCAGCUCUCUGGACAGAUAUUGACGCUGAGGCGCGAAGGCGUGGGUAGCGAACAGGAUUAGAUA